AAAAGAAUUUGUUAGACGAAUAACCUGGAAAGGUUAAUCAGAGAAGGUAAUAAUCCUGUAGUCGAAAACGAAUUCUCUCUUGAGUGGAUCCUGAGUACGACGGAGCACGUGAAAUUCCGUCGGAAUCUGGGAGGACCAUCUCCUAAGGCUAAAUACUCUCUAGUGACCGAUAGUGAACCAGUACCGUGAGGGAAAGGUGAAAAGUACCCCGGAAGGGGAGUGAAAGAGAACUUGAAACCGUGUGCUUACAAGUAGUCAGAGCCCGUUAAUGGGUGAUGGCGUGCCUUUUGUAGAAUGAACCGGCGAGUUACGAUCUGAUGCAAGGUUAAGCAGAAAAUGUGGAGCCGUAGCGAAAGCGAGUCUGAAUAGGGCGAAUGAGUAUUUGGUCGUAGACCCGAAACCAGGUGAUCUACCCUUGGUCAGGUUGAAGUUCAGGUAACACUGAAUGGAGGACCGAACCGACUUACGUUGAAAAGUGAGCGGAUGAACUGAGGGUAGCGGAGAAAUUCCAAUCGAACUUGGAGAUAGCUGGUUCUCUCCGAAAUAGCUUUAGGGCUAGCCUCAAGUGAUGAUUAUUGGAGGUAGAGCACUGUUUGGACGAGGGGCCCCUCUCGGGUUACCGAAUUCAGACAAACUCCGAAUGCCAAAUAAUUUAACUUGGGAGUCAGAAUGUGGGUGAUAAGGUCCAUAUUCGAAAGGGAAACAGCCCAGACCACCAGCUAAGGUCCCAAAAUAUAUGUUAAGUGGAAAAGGAUGUGGCGUUGCCCAGACAACUAGGAUGUUGGCUUAGAAGCAGCCAUCAUUUAAAGAGUGCGUAAUAGCUCACUAGUCGAGUGACACUGCGCCGAAAAUGUACCGGGGCUAAACAUAU
rnacentral:rRNA from 1 species